rnacentral:rRNA from 1 species
AUGUCCUCCAGUGAUCAGAACCCAGCGCCCACGCCCACCUCGGGCGCCGGCGGGACGGCGCCGCCGCCGGGCAGGCCGACCACGGUCUCCUCGCAGGCGAUCGACAUGGGCGCUCAGGUGCUGCAGACGUUGAAGCCGGUGCGCCAGAUGAAGCAGCACGCGUGCAGCUUCGCGCUGUACGCACACGACAUGCACCGGCAGCUCGAGGUCCACCACUUCGUCUCCCGCCUCAACCAGGACGUCCUCCAGUGCGCCGUCUAUGACUCCGACAAGCCGUCGGCCCGCCUCAUCGGUGUGGAGUACAUCGUGUCGGACAACAUCUUCGAGGCCCUGCCGCCGGAGGAGCAGAGGCUGUGGCACUCGCACGCCUACGAGGUCAAGGCCGGGCUGUGGACCGACGUGGGCGUGCCGGAGAUGCUGCAGACCUCGGAGAUGGCCAGGAUGGCCAAGACGUACGGCAAGUUCUGGUGCACGUGGCAGGUGGACCGCAGCGACCGGCUGCCCCUCGGCGCGCCGGCGCUCAUGAUGUCGCCGCAGGCCGUGGAGCCGGGCCGGGUGCGCGCCGAGCUGGUGCGCGCGCGCGACGAGAGGUGCAAGGUGGACAGCUCCGCUCGUGGGCUCAAGGCUGAGAGGGUGGAGAUGGAUGAGCCGGAGUGGAUCAACCCGAACGCCGACUACUGGCGACUGCACGGCAAGGGGUUCGCCGUAGACGUCACGGACACGGAGAUGAAGCAGCAGGCGCCCUUCCCUUGA